AUACGGAGGAUGCGAGCGUUAUCCGGAUUUAUUGGGUUUAAAGGGAGCGUAGGUGGGAUAUUAAGUCAGCUGUGAAAGUUUGGGGCUCAACCUUAAAAUUGCAGUUGAUACUGGUUUCCUUGAGUACGGUACAGGUGGGCGGAAUUCGUGGUGUAGCGGUGAAAUGCUUAGAUAUCACGAAGAACUCCGAUCGCGAAGGCAGCUCACCGGGCCGGAACUGACACUGAUGCUCGAAAGUGCGGGUAUCAAACAGGAUUAGAUACCCUGGUAGUCCGCACAGUAAACGAUGAAUACUCGCUGUUUGCGAUACACGGUAAGCGGCCAAGCGAAAGCGUUAAGUAUUCCACCUGGGGAGUACGCCGGCAACGGUGAAGCUCAAAUGAAUUGACGGGG
rnacentral:rRNA from 1 species